GGGUGAGUAAUGCCUAGGAAUCUGCCUGGUAGUGGGGGACAACNUUUCGAAAGGAACGCUAAUACCGCAUACGUCCUACGGGAGAAAGCAGGGGACCUUCGGGCCUUGCGCUAUCAGAUGAGCCUAGGUCGGAUUAGCUAGUUGGUGGGGUAAUGGCUCACCAAGGCGACNAUCCGUAACUGGUCUGAGAGGAUGAUCAGUCACACUGGAACUGAGACACGGUCCAGACUCCUACGGGAGGCAGCAGUGGGGAAUAUUGGACAAUGGGCGAAAGCCUGAUCCAGCCAUGCCGCGUGUGUGAAGAAGGUCUUCGGAUUGUAAAGCACUUUAAGUUGGGAGGAAGGGCAGUAAGCUAAUACCUUGCUGUUUUGACGUUACCGACAGAAUAAGCACCGGCUAACUCUGUGCCAGCAGCCGCGGUAAUACAGAGGGUGCAAGCGUUAAUCGGAAUUACUGGGCGUAAAGCGCGCGUAGGUGGUUCGUUAAGUUGGAUGUGAAAGCCCCGGGCUCAACCUGGGAACUGCAUCCAAAACUGGCGAGCUAGAGUACGGUAGAGGGUGGUGGAAUUUCCUGUGUAGCGGUGAAAUGCGUAGAUAUAGGAAGGAACACCAGUGGCGAAGGCNACCACCUGGACUGAUACUGACACUGAGG
rnacentral:rRNA from 1 species